AAAAUGUCACGACGAUUUCCAUGACCAAGGCUUGGAUGUCACUUCCUGAGGGGGAUGUCGUUCCAACGAGCUUUAUAGGCUGCAAGAGAACAUGAAGUGUGAAUCCUGCACAAGUUGCCCCCGUCAGCUGUGCUGCUGCAUAUAAUGGUGACUUCCCAUAACAUUAUUGCAAGAAUGCCCACCACAAGCUCAAACAUCUUCCAUGUGCUGUCUGCCUACAUAUCCUUUUCCAUGUUUUCCCUUCCAUCACCAUCAGUUCUUGUCCAGGUAUAUAUUUUGAUUUAUAUAUCCAACCACCUUUUUAAAGUUCAAUAAUCAUU